GUGGGGAAUAUUGGACAAUGGGGGGAACCCUGAUCCAGCCAUGCCGCGUGUGUGAAGAAGGCCUUUUGGUUGUAAAGCACUUUAAGCGAGGAGGAGGCUACCGAGAUUAAUACUCUUGGAUAGUGGACGUUACUCGCAGAAUAAGCACCGGCUAACUCUGUGCCAGCAGCCGCGGUAAUACAGAGGGUGCAAGCGUUAAUCGGAUUUACUGGGCGUAAAGCGCGUGUAGGUGGCCAAUUAAGUCAAAUGUGAAAUCCCCGAGCUUAACUUGGGAAUUGCAUUCGAUACUGGUUGGCUAGAGUAUGGGAGAGGAUGGUAGAAUUCCAGGUGUAGCGGUGAAAUGCGUAGAGAUCUGGAGGAAUACCGAUGGCGAAGGCAGCCAUCUGGCCUAAUACUGACACUGAGGUGCGAAAGCAUGGGGAGCAAACAGGAUUAGAUACCCCAGUAGUCC
rnacentral:rRNA from 1 species